rnacentral:misc_RNA from 1 species
AUGGCUAAGAAAACCUACGACUUACUGUUCAAACUUCUCUUAAUCGGAGAUUCUGGUGUAGGCAAAACAUGUAUAUUGUUCAGAUUUUCUGAUAACCAUUUCACAACUACAUUUAUAUCGACAAUCGGUAUAGAUUUUAAAAUCAAAACAGUGGAGCUAAGAGGAAAGAAAAUAAAGCUUCAAAUAUGGGACACUGCGGGACAGGAGCGCUUCCACACCAUCACCACAUCAUACUACCGUGGUGCUAUGGGCAUCAUGUUAGUGUAUGAUAUAACUAAUGAAAAAACAUUUGAUGAUAUUGUUAAAUGGUUAAGAAAUAUAGAUGAGCAUGCAAAUGAAGAUGUGGAAAAGAUGAUACUUGGAAAUAAAUGUGACAUGGAGGAAAAAAGAGUUGUUAGCAAAGAGCGCGGGGAGGCUAUAGCCCGCGAGCACGGCAUCCGCUUCAUGGAGACGUCGGCGAAAUCGAAUAUAAACAUCGACCGCGCGUUCUCGGAGCUGGCCGAGGCGAUCCUCGACAAGACGGCGGGGCGCGAGGCGGACGCGGACCACGCGCGCAUCGCGGUCGAGCGCCGGCCCUCGCGCGCGCCGCCCGCCCGCGCCUGCUGCUCCUAGGCGCGUGUUGUCGCGUGUCGUCGCGUGUUGCCGCGUGUUGCCGCGUGUCGCCGCGCGCCUCGAGGCCUGUAUGUUACUUUCGGAUGUCGAGUCAUUUCUUUUUAUAAUGCGGUUGUUAGGUGUAGAAUUGUGAAGCGGUGUUUGGGGUCGUACCCUUUUAAGUAAAAAAUUUUUUGGCCUGUAUUUCGAUUUUUUAAUAGAUCUAUUACAAACUUAACUUACACAUGUGUGAUUUUAUUAAAUCAUUUUUUCAAUGGAAACGUUUUUUUAUUAAUUUUAAGCUUGAAUUGUUUCGUUUUUAAAAUAAGUACGGAUACAGGUCUCCAUCUAUAGACAAGCAAUAGGAUUGUAGCAAUUUUUUAAAUCGAUAAUAAUAUAAAUAUAUAAUGCAUAGUACGUACAUUGUAACCCAUAAACUAUAAUAUGUAAAAAUGCCUUUAAAAGCUAUCUCACUACGGCAGAGGUAUAUUAUGUGUAGUUUUAAUAUUGUUUAGAAUUUUAUAGUUCUCGGGGGCUUGUAGAUCGUCCUAGAAAUAAUUUUGAUUAUUAUUAAUAUAUUUCUGCCAUUUUAGAUAGAUACCUAGUAAUUUUGACUGUUUUAUCAAUAUAAUAAAUAUAUUAAAUACAAAGCUACAAUGUUCAUAGUUUGUAUGUUUGUAAAUUUUUUAACGAGCAACAUGCUGGUGUCGCCAUUUUUUCAAAUGAUCAUACUAUGAGACUCGAAAUUGCAUGUAUAUGUCAACUUUUAUAGGGGGCAUUAUAAUAUAUAUUGCUAAUAGUUGAUCUGUAUAACAUAAUAUAUCAAUAUAUUUAAAGCUCGGAUCCUAUAUUUAAUCUAUCGAAAUAUAAUUUGCAGGUAAAAUGCUAAAGAAACGUACUACGUAAUGCACUAUUUACAUAUUUUGUUUCCAUCAAAAAUUGUGUCAAAUUAGCUCAAGAGUAAACUUUUCCACGCAAAAAAUCAAUUAUAAAUACACAUAGAUUGAAUAUAGGUACCGGUCAAAAGUCGCGCGGUAAUCAUCUCUGGCCGGGCGACUCUGUGCAAUAUGACAGUUGACACAUUGUCUAGUGAACACGCGGCCUUAGCGUGUUGCUAUAACAUACGUCAAGCGAUCCGCGCUCGAAAACUAAGUGAUUGUUAUUGAGAUUACAGUGUUAUAUGUAAAUGGAUCUCAUCAUUUUCGAGUGCGCUUGUAACUACAGCAUAUCAUCAGAGAGGAGUGGAACGUGUUAGGGGUCGUGCAAAUGUGUGCAUGCAAUAUUUUCACGCACACAUUUGUUGAAGUUGGUUGGUUUUUUUCUGGGUUCGUACUGACUGUGUAUGUUUCAGUCACAACUCAUAACUAGUCGAAACCAUUUUUUUGUGCAACAAUCAGUCAAAUGUGGUUUUGAUCAAUGCCAUCAGUUACAAAACACUUUUGAUUGAUUUUAUGGCUUUGAGUUUGAUUGAACAUACUAAAGUUUUACAGUUAAGUUAGUUGUGUGUUUGUAUGAACUCAAGUGACGUGUGUGACGCGAUUAUAACGUGUUAUAAACGACAUCACGCGUCACACCAUCAGCUGGCGAUUUAUAGGAUUUCCUCAACCAUACAAGAUAGAAUAUAAAUGUGGCAAUUAAACACUUAUGAAAUGAACAUAUUUAUUUUGUUUAAAAUUUCAAAACCAAAUUUCAUGAGUACCUACGAAACCCAGAAAAUAAACUGGUACCCUCUGCGUAGUCUAAGUCUAAAUACCUAGCACAUUAUUGUUUGUAUAUCGAUGCAUGCACCUGCGCUUCGCUGUAACGGUUUAUUUAACACUACGUAACAAGUGUUUAACGGCUUCGAAAUCCUACGGCUCAAAUGUGCUUACAUGUCAAUGUUUGUUGAUAUUAUUGUUUUGUAAACCUUAACCAUUUAUCUAUAUAUAUAUCUAUCUUUAAUCCGAUUGUUCUGUCCACGCUAAGAAAUUUUGUAUUGAAAUAAAAUCAUAUAAUUUAUUGUAAGUGUUAUUAUGUAUAUUAUCCCUACUAAUAAUUACUAACGCUAUUGAGCCCUUUGUUUUUAUUUAAUUUUUUGCUAAGAAUGAAGUUCUGGAGAAGUGAAGUUUUGAAAAGAGUCGCAUGCAUUUAAUUUCAGUUAAACUCUGUAUUAUUAAAGAUUUUCAUACAACAAACCUCGUGAAAGCGCUAAUAUAUUUUAGAAAACUACCGUCAUAUCAAUUAAAAUUACGCAUUUUAUUGUUGUUAUAGUUUUUGAUUAUAACAUGAGUUUGUUUUGUCGCGUUACGGGAAAACAUCUCCUCAUUCUUUCUUAAAUGAAUUUUCAACAAAAUGCGAUCUUUAAUUU